rnacentral:rRNA from 1 species
UACGGAGGGUGCGAGCGUUGUCCGGAAUCACUGGGCGUAAAGGGCGCGUAGGUGGCGCGGGAAGUCAACGGUGAAAGUUCAGGGCUCAACCCUGAAUCGGCCGUCGAUACUCCCGGGCUCGAGCACUGUAGAGGCAGGUGGAAUUCCGGGUGUAGCGGUGGAAUGCGUAGAGAUCCGGAAGAACACCGGUGGCGAAGGCGGCCUGCUGGGCAGUUGCUGACACUGAUGCGCGACAGCGUGGGGAG